UACGGGGGGGGCAAGCGUUGUUCGGAAUUACUGGGCGUAAAGGGCUCGUAGGUGGCCAACUAAGUCAGACGUGAAAUCCCUCGGCUUAACCGGGGAACUGCGUCUGAUACUGGAUGGCUUGAGAUUGGGAGAGGGAUGCGGAAUUCCAGGUGUAGCGGUGAAAUGCGUAGAUAUCUGGAGGAACACCGGUGGCGAAGGCGGCAUCCUGGACCAACACUGACACUGAGGAGCGAAAGCCAGGGGAGCAAACAGGG
rnacentral:rRNA from 1 species